rnacentral:rRNA from 1 species
GACGAACGCUGGCGGCGUGUUUAACACAUGCAAGUCGAACGGAAAGGCCCUGCUUUUGUGGGGUGCUCGAGUGGCGAACGGGUGAGUAACACGUGAGUAACCUGCCCUUGACUUUGGGAUAACUUCAGGAAACUGGGGCUAAUACCGGAUAGGAGCUCCUGCUGCAUGGUGGGGGUUGGAAAGUUUCGGCGGUUGGGGAUGGACUCGCGGCUUAUCAGCUUGUUGGUGGGGUAGUGGCUUACCAAGGCUUUGACGGGUAGCCGGCCUGAGAGGGUGACCGGCCACAUUGGGACUGAGAUACGGCCCAGACUCCUACGGGAGGCAGCAGUGGGGAAUAUUGCACAAUGGGCGGAAGCCUGAUGCAGCAACGCCGCGUGCGGGAUGACGGCCUUCGGGUUGUAAACCGCUUUCGCCUGUGACGAAGCGUGAGUGACGGUAAUGGGUAAAGAAGCACCGGCUAACUACGUGCCAGCAGCCGCGGUGAUACGUAGGGUGCGAGCGUUGUCCGGAUUUAUUGGGCGUAAAGGGCUCGUAGGUGGUUGAUCGCGUCGGAAGUGUAAUCUUGGGGCUUAACCCUGAGCGUGCUUUCGAUACGGGUUGACUUGAGGAAGGUAGGGGAGAAUGGAAUUCCUGGUGGAGCGGUGGAAUGCGCAGAUAUCAGGAGGAACACCAGUGGCGAAGGCGGUUCUCUGGGCCUUUCCUGACGCUGAGGAGCGAAAGCGUGGGGAGCGAACAGGCUUAGAUACCCUGGUAGUCCACGCUGUAAACGGUGGGUACUAGGUGUGGGGUCCAUUCCACGGGUUCCGUGCCGUAGCUAACGCUUUAAGUACCCCGCCUGGGGAGUACGGCCGCAAGGCUAAAACUCAAAGGAAUUGACGGGGCCCCGCACAAGCGGCGGAGCAUGCGGAUUAAUUCGAUGCAACGCGUAGAACCUUACCUGGGUUUGACAUGGAUCGGGAGUGCUCAGAGAUGGGUGUGCCUCUUUUGGGGUCGGUUCACAGGUGGUGCAUGGCUGUCGUCAGCUCGUGUCGUGAGAUGUUGGGUUAAGUCCCGCAACGAGCGCAACCCUUGUUCACUGUUGCCAGCACGUUAUGGUGGGGACUCAGUGGAGACCGCCGGGGUCAACUCGGAGGAAGGUGGGGAUGACGUCAAGUCAUCAUGCCCCUUAUGUCCAGGGCUUCACGCAUGCUACAAUGGCUGGUACAGAGAGUGGCGAGCCUGUGAGGGUGAGCGAAUCUCGGAAAGCCGGUCUCAGUUCGGAUUGGGGUCUGCAACUCGACCUCAUGAAGUCGGAGUCGCUAGUAAUCGCAGAUCAGCAACGCUGCGGUGAAUACGUUCCCGGGGCU